GACCCCAAGUUAGGCGGGAUUACCCACUAAGUUUAAGCAUAUCAAUUAGUAGAAGAACAGAAACUUACCAGGAUUCACCUAGUAACGGCAAGCAAACCAAGAAAAGCCCAACUUGAAAAUCGAUCACCUCUGGCAUCUAAAUUCUAGUCUGGAAAAUCAUCCUUAGCGGUGGACUAGGCCCAAUUCCCCUAAAAAUGGGCACCAAAGAGGGUGAGAGCCCUAUUGUGCUUAGACCCUAUCACACCAUAAAGCACUAUCUAUGAGUUGGGUUGUUUAGGAAUGUAGCCUCAAUCAGGUAAUAAAUUCCAUUCAAGGUUGAAUACAGAUGAGAAACUGAUAGCAAACAAGUACCAUGAGGGAAAGAUUAAAAAGAUAUUGAAAAAAGAGUCAAAGAGUACUUGAAAUUAUCGAGAAGAAACUAGAUGAGGGCUAAUGAUACACCCCGAUCAGAUAUGGAAUAACCGGUCCACCGAUCAGCUCGAGGUAUGGACCAACAUAGGUCAUGGUGGCAGCCCAAGCUCGAGCUUUUGAUAUGCCCACGAAGACAUCAUCACCUUGAUCAUGGAAUGUAGGAUGCACUAUCUCAGUGUAACUCAACACCCAUGUGCUCUCGACAUUGGCCUAUAGGCUUCCCAUCCAGCUUGUCUUGAAACAUGGACCAAGGAGUUUGACAUGUGUGCAAGUUAAUGGGCUUAAAACCCGUAAGGUGCCAAGAAGCUAAUUAGCAGGAUCCCUCAUGGGUGCACCACAAACUGACUUUGAUCUUCUAAGAAGGGUUUGAAUGUCAGUGUGUCUAUCGGGACUCAAAAGAUAGUGAACAAUGCUUAAGUGGGCCCAAGCUAGAGGAAACUUUGGUGAAGGCCCAUAGUGAUACUAACAUGCAAAUAAUUCAUCUAACUUGGGUAUAAGGGUGAAGGACUAAUUGAACCAUCUAGUAGCUAGUUCCCUCUAAAGUUUCCUUCAAGAUAGCUACAACACUUAGUGAGUUUAUUGGGUAAAACCAAUGAUUAGAGGCAUCGGGGGUGCAAUGCCCUUGACCUAUUCUCAAACUUUAAAUAGGUAGGAUAACACAACUACUUUGUUGAGCCACGCCAUGGAAUCGAGAGCUCUAAGUGGGCCAUUUUUGGUAAGCAAAAUUAGCAUUGUGAGAUGAACCAAAAGCCAGGUUAUGAUGCCCACUUGCAUGCUAACCUAGACCCAUAAAGGAUGUUGGUUGAUUAAGACAGUAGGACGACGGUCAUGGAAGUUGAAAUCCACUGAGGAAUGUGAAACAACUCACCUACCAAAUCAACUAGCCCUAAAAAUGGAUGGCACUUAAGUGCAUUACCCAUACCUAGCCAUUGGGGUAAGGGCCAAGCCUCAAUGAGUAGGAGGGCAUGGCGGUCACUAUAAAACUCAGAGUGUGAGCCUAGGCAAAGUGGCUAUCAAUGUAGAUCUUGGUGGUAGUAGCAAAUAUUGAAAUGAGAACUUUGAAGGCCAAACAGGGGAAAAGUUCCUUGUGAACGGCACUUGCACAUAGGUUAAUCGAUCCUGAGAGAUAGGGGAAGCCCAUCCGAUAGCACAUCUAGUGUGUACUUUAAAAGGGAAUCUAGUUAAAAUUCAUUAACCAAACAUGAUGACUGAUGACAAUGUUCGAAAGUCUAAAGACAUCGAUUGGGGCCUUGAAAAGAGUUAUCUUUUUUAUUUAAUGGCUUGCCCACCUUAGAAAUGGCUCAGCUAGAGGUAGGGUUUAGCGGCUAGAAGAGCACUGUAUGUCACAUGGUAUUCAGUGUGCCCAUGAUGGCCCUUGAAAAACUAGAGGACCAAGUGUUGUCCAUGCUCGAUCAUACUCAUAACUGUAUCAGGUUUCCAAAGUGAACAACCUUCGAUCGAUGGAACAAUAUAGGUAAGGGAAGUUAGCAAAAUGGAUCUAUAACCUCAAGAAAAGGAUUGGCUAUAAGGGUUGGGCAUAGAUGUUAUAGUCCCAAACCCAUCAGCUAUUGGUGCACUGCUUGAACUACUCUUGCAACAAGGUGGAUCAUCGUAUGCCAAUCGGAGGUUAGGCUAGGAAUGGCUCUUUCGAAGGCCUUCCCCAAGCAAUGAACAAUUGACUCAGAACUGGUAUGGACAUGGGGAAUAUGACUAUUUAAUUAAAACAAAGCAUUAUGAUGGUCCCUAGGGAUGCUCAUGCAAUAUGAUUUCUACCCAUGCUCUGAAUGUCAAAGUGGAGAAAUUCAACCAAGCACAAGUAAACGGCGAGAGUAACUAUGACUCUUUUAAGGUAGCCAAAUGCCUCAUCAUCUAAUUAGUGACCCAUAUGAAUGGAUUAACGAGAUUCCAACUAUCCUUGUCUACUAUCCAGUGAAACCACAGCCAAAGGAAUGGGAUUUUAUAGAAUUAAUGGGUAAAGAAGACCUUAUUGAGCUUGACUUUAGUCUGACUUUAUGAAAUGACUUGAGAGGGGUAGGAUAAGAUGGACUCCUUAGGCAAAAUUGAAAUACCAGUACUUUUAACAUUAUUUUACUUAUUCUGUGAAACAAAAGUAGGGCACAACCCCUUCUUUUAGACCCAAGGUUGACCUCGAUCGAUCAAUCUGGGAGGAAGACAUUGUCAGGAAGGAAGUUUGGUUAGGGUGACACAUUUGUUAAAAAAUAACACAAGUGUUCUAAGAUAAGCUCAAUGAGAACAUAAAUCUCGUGUGGAAUAAAAGGGUAAAAGCUCAUUUGAUUCUAAUUUCCUGUAUGAAUAUGAACCAUGAAAGCAUGGUCUAUCGAUCCUUUAGACCUUCAAAAUUUGAAACUAGAGGUAUCAAAAAAGUUACCACAGGGAUAACUGGCUUACGGUAGCCAAGCGUUCAUAGCAACAUUGCUUUUGAUCCUUUAAUGUCAACUCUUCCUAUCAUUAUGAAGCAGAAUUCACCAAGUGUUGGAUUGUUCACCCACCAAUAGGGAACGUGAGCUAGGUUUAGACAAAUGUGAGAUAGGUUAGUUUGACCCUAAUGAUGGUAACAUUGCAAUUGUAAUUCAACCUUGUAUGAGAGGAACCAUUGAUUCACACAAUUGAUCAUCACACUUUGCUGAAAAGCUAGUGGUGCAAAACUACCAUCUGGGAGAUACUUUCUCUUUAACUCUCUUUUUUUC
rnacentral:rRNA from 1 species